CCUACGGGUGGCAGCAGUGGGGAAUCUUGCACAAUGGGGGAAACCCUGAUGCAGCAACGCCGCGUGAAGGAAGACGGUUUUCGGAUUGUAAACUUCUGUUCUUAGUGAAGAAGAAUGACGGUAGCUAAGGAGCAAGCCACGGCUAACUACGUGCCAGCAGCCGCGGUAAUACGUAGGUGGCAAGCGUUGUCCGGACUUACUGGGUGUAAAGGGAGCGCAGGCGGGAAGCCAAGUCAGCUGUGAAAACUAUGGGCUUAACUUAUAGAGUGCAGUGGAAACUGGGUUUCUUGGGUGAAGUAGAGGAUAGUGGAAUUCCGAGUGUAGCGGUGGAAUGCGUAGAUAUUCGGAGGAACACCAGUGGCGAAGGCGGCCAUCUGGGCUUUAACUGACGCUGAGGCUCGAAAGUAUGGGUAGCAAACAGGAUUAGAUACCCGAGUAGUC
rnacentral:rRNA from 1 species